rnacentral:rRNA from 1 species
GAGGGAAAAGCCCAAAUUUGUAAUCAURCUCUUUGAGGGGUGUGAGUUGUAAUUUUGARAACUGUUUUCAGUGCUGGACCAUAUAUAAGUCUGUUGAAAAGCAGCAUCAUAGAGGGUGACAAUCCUGUUUGUGAUAUGGAGCUACCAGUAUGUUAUGAUACAGUUUCUAAGAGUCGAGUUGUUUGGGAAUGCAGCUCAAAGUGGGUGGUAAAUUCCAUCUAAGGCUAAAUAUGGAUGAGAGACCGAUAGCAAACAAGUACCGUGAGGGAAAGAUGAAAAGAACUUUGGAAAGAGAGUUAACAGUGCGUGAAAUUGUUAAAAGGGAAACACUUGAAGUUAGUCUUGUUGUUACUAGUUCAGCUCAUUUUUGGGUGUAUUCUAGUGACUGACAGCUCAACAUGAAUUCUUGGGUGUCAGAUAAGGGUCACUGAAAUGUAGCAGUCAUUUUUGGCUGUGCUUUAUAGUCAGAGACUUUGAUAUGAUGCUUAGGAUUGAGGACCGCAGUAAGCCAGUGACAUGGUGGGUUCUUUUUUGAACCUUCUUACUUUGGAUGUUGAGGAAAUAGCUUUAAAUGACCCGUCUUGAAACACGGACCAAGGAGUCUAACAUGCUUGCGAGUAUUUGGGUGAUAGAAACCCUUAUGCGUAAUGAAAGUGAAUGUAAAUGGGAUCUUGUUAAGAGAGCACCAUUGACCASUCCASAUUAUUUAUWUGAUGGUACUGAGUAAGAGCAAGUAUGUUGGGACCCGAAAGAUGGUGAACUAUGCCUGAAUAGGG